AUUGAACGCUGGCGGCAGGCCUAACACAUGCAAGUCGAACGAGUGGCGGACGGGUGAGUAAUGUCUGGGAAACUGCCCGAUGGAGGGGGAUAACUACUGGAAACGGUAGCUAAUACCGCAUACCAUCGGAUGUGCCCAGAUGGGAUUAACAAGUAGGUGGGGUAAAGGCUCACCGAGGCGACGCGCCCUAGCUGGUCUGAGAGGAUGACCAGCCACACUGGAACUGAGACACGGUCCAGACUCCGACGGUAGGCAGCAGUGGGGAAUAUUGCACAAUGGGCGCAAGCCUGAUGCAGCCAUGCCGCGUGUAUGAAGAAGGCCUUCGGGUUGUAAAGUACUUUCAGCGAGGAGGCGUUACUCGCAGAAGAAGCACCGGCUAACUCCGUGCCAGCAGCCGCGGUAAUUC
rnacentral:rRNA from 1 species